UACAGAGAGUGCAAACGUUGUUCGGAAUCACUGGGCAUAAAGCGCACGUAGGCGGCCUUUCAAGUGUGGAGUGAAAUCCCACGGCUCACCCGUGGAACUGCUUCGCAUACCGUUUGGCUCGAGGAUGGUAGAGGAGAGCGGAACUCCUGGUGGAGCGGUGAAAUGCGUAGAUAUCAGGAGGAACACCGGUGGCGAAGGCGGCUCUCUGGUCCAUUUCUGACGCUGAGGUGCGAAAGCUAGGGGAGCGAACGGG
rnacentral:rRNA from 1 species